rnacentral:rRNA from 1 species
AGCAGCCGCGGUAAUUCCAGCUCCAAUAGCGUAUAUUAAAGUUGUUGCAGUUAAAAAGCUCGUAGUUGAAUUUCGGGAUUGGCGCAUCGGUCGUGCCUCACGGGGUAUGAACUGGUGCAGUCAAUUUCUCACCUUCUGGAGAACCGCGAUGUCCUUAAUUGGAUGCCGCGGGGAACCAGGACCUUUACUUUGAAAAAAUUAGAGUGUUUAAAGCAGGCAUUUUUGCUUGAAUACAUUAGCAUGGAAUAAUAAAAUAGGACGGCAUGGUUCUAUUUUGUUGGUUUCUAGGACCACCGUAAUGAUUAAUAGGGAUAGUUGGGGGCAUUAGUAUUCAAUUGUCAGAGGUGAAAUUCUUGGAUUUAUUGAAGACUAACUACUGCGAAAGCAUUUGCCAAGGAUGUUUUCAUUAAUCAAGAACGAAAGUCAGGGGAUCGAAGACGAUCAGAUACCGUCGUAGUCUUAACCAUAAACUAUGCCGACUAGGAAUCAG